CCUGACACCUGCAGAUAGCCUGUGAAGAAGCAGCCUGGAGUGUAGCUCCAUGUCUGACCUGCGUAACAUAAAGUCCAGCGUUAACCCAGCAUUGUGUCUCCAUAGACCGGUGAGCUUUCGGACAUUAACCCCGGAGAGGAGCCGCUGUGUCGGAGCCUCUGCUAGCCUGACUGCCCCUACUGUAACUCGGGUGUUCCAGCUCAGUUUGCAACCUGCCGAUGGAACACUCAGCCCGGCUACAGCCUGGCUGACAUGUCCAUCCGCAUUCGUGAUUCUAACCCGGUAGAAAGCGCAAAUGUCUCCACGAAACCAGAACGUGUCGCCAAAGACGCCCCGCUGGAAAAAAAAUGCCUACAAAACAGCCCAUAAAUCGAGCUAAAAACGCAGAACACCGGAGCCAUACGCCAACUUUGUUUGAUAAAUGAUGUGUGCCAAGUAAAGUUUCCCCCAGACAUGCCGACAUUUGCGUUAACACUGUCUCCAUUACAUAACCAAAUGUGUCGUUGCGUGUCUUUUUCCUCCCGGACGCUUUCCUGGUUGCAACAGAGCAACACCGGCCGUCCCCGUAACCCUCUAGCGGCGCGGACUGCACCGAUGCCCGGCGUGCAUCGUUAGGAGACUCCGCAGCGCAACCAUGUUUCUCGGUACCGGCCACAGUUGUCAAAACCCACCGUAUUCGGCCAUUUACACCGCCACACUGCUCACUCUGAACUGAUCUUCAGCUUUAGGGACUCUAAGCAGAGAACCACCUUCAGCUGAGAAAGGCUCACAGUCUGUUGGCAUGCCUGGAGGCCCACAUACCUGAGGAUGCUGGUGACUCUGGAUUUUGACCAUAUGCUGAGCUUUUGUGUGCUUGUCUGGGGGCCACACUUCAAGGAAAAACGUUUAAAUCCUCGAUGGGGAAAGGGCGGAAACUUAUUUGUUGAAAAGGUGCAAUUUGUUUAGCAGUUCACCGACUCUCCUGAGAAAACUCAGCUGCUGAAAAAGUGUCUCCUUUGGGACCAGCUGAUCCUGAAGGACCAGGAAGACCUCUGUCACCCUUUUCUCCCUGUUCACCUGGGGGUCCGAUAAGACCAAUGAGACCCGGAUGGCCCUGAGGACAGAGACAAACAUACCGCAGGGCCUGGAGGACCCUGAGGGCCAGAGCGUCCAGGAAGACCUGUAGGUCCGGCGGGGCCAGCAGGACCACGCUCACCAGGAGAACCCUAUAGCAGCAAUGCACCUCAAUGUUAUUAAAGACAUCAAAGGUCGAACACUGAAAAAUAAAGCAUCAUUUCAGGCACAUCUACUUCAUCAGAUACAACGCACCUCUGUUAUGUAAGUAGCAAACUGUGGAUAUCAUCAUGUUAUAUAAGAGAAUGGGAACUUUGCUAUGAAGACAAUUCCCAGAGUUGAAGACAGAAUAUAGAAGGUGAGAGUGGAAGUGACAAACUGAGGAUGCGGAUGCAGUAAAUUGUACUCACAGCAGGGCCAGGUGGGCCAUGAGGACCCUCAUUCCCUUUCAGGCCGUGAGCCCCCUGCAGAACAAAAUAAAAGGAAGGCUUCAGAAAACAAACACAUCUGUUGGGGAAGCACACAUCCUGCCUUACACUGGACUCCCUAUGUUCAAACAGGCUCAGCAUGAGAUGGAAAGCCUCCGAUAUUCUCCAAAGUGGAGGCUGAGAGCAGAUGGGUAGAACAGUUAUUCACUAAAACUGCUGCAAGCCUCCUUUACAUUAGAAAGGAGCUGGUGAACUGCAUAAUUUCUGAAUCCUAAAGCUAAGGGAAAAAAGCUGUGUCUGCAAUUGAUUUCGUUCUAACAAGUUUGCAGUGAGAGAAGAGCGUAAAUUGCAUAACUACAAGGACGUGACUUUGUCAAGUCGGAGGAAAAAAUUUAAAAAAUAAACAGCCUUGAGUGCACAGUUCCUCAUCUGAAGCCCACUCAGGGAUCUGAUAUCAUCUCUGAUUCCUGAGGUUCACUACAUUCUUACAGUGAUUUAAUAGCCCAGAACUAUUAUGCAAUAACCAAGCUGUGAGAGGUAUUGAAUGUGUCAGAAAGUAUUAAGCUGAGCAGAAGGCUGUACUAACCACAGGGCCAGGCAGACCUCUCUCUCCGGGGAAUCCUCUUGGCCCAGGAGGACCAUCCUUACCUGCUGGGCCAGCAGGACCAGGGUCACCCUACAGACAAGCACACCGUCAUCAAUGAUACAAAACAAAAACUGUAGAUGGACUGCAAAAUUUAUUACAUGAAUGUAUCAAGCUGAUGGGGUGAUGGGAAAGAUAAGAUAUUAAACAGAGCCUUGUGUUUCACCUUGGCUCCUUCUUUCCCUGCAGCUCCAGGUAGACCCUGCUCACCAGGUGGGCCUGGAGGUCCAGGAUGGCCUCGAUCUCCCAUUGGUCCAGUCUCACCUGUUGAUCCCUACAAUUGGGUAAAAAACACAAACAAACAAACUCAUGGACACAAGCAUUACACCAAGUUGCAGAGGAGGUGUGAAGAAGAGAAACGACAGCAAGAGGGAAGCAGAGUGGACACUGUGAGCUAAAUCAGCAAUUAAAAUACAAAAAAGAUGCUACAACCUCUCCAUGUAUCACAAAGCAUGGCAAGGAGAAGCUGAGCAUUUGCUGUGUGGGAGGCCUAGUAGUCAUUAAAGCCACAUACAGCUCCGUUAUCAUGAAUGUUCUCAGCUGGCAUUAGCAGAGCUGCUGGGAGGGAAAGUCUGUUAAACGUUUAUGCAUAAUGGAUGAAGAUGAGAGCCCAUUGCUAAUAUGAAAGAGGAUAAACAACACUUAAGUCAUGGCUCUUGAGAUAUCAAUCAAAUUUUUGUUGGACGAACAGAUUGCUGAGAAAGUGUUCUUAAUGACCAGAUUUUUGUUUUGUGUGCAAAUAUUGGACUCUACCAUGGAGUAUAACUUUUUCAAUAAACAAUGAAAAUGCAUAA